GACGAACGCUGGCGGCGUGCUUAACACAUGCAAGUCGAACGGAAAGGCCUUUUCGGAGGUACUCGAGUGGCGAACGGGUGAGUAACACGUGGGUGAUCUGCCCUGCACUCUGGGAUAAGCCUGGGAAACUGGGUCUAAUACCGGAUAGGACCGCACUUUAGUGUGUGUGGUGGAAAGUUUUUUCGGUGUAGGAUGAGCCCGCGGCCUAUCAGCUUGUUGGUGGGGUAAUGGCCUACCAAGGCGGCGACGGGUAGCCGGACUGAGAGGUUGGUCGGCCACAUUGGGACUGGGAUACGGCCCAGACUCCUACGGGAGGCAGCAGGGGGGAAUAUUGCACAAUGGGCGCAAGCCUGAUGCAGCGACGCCGCGUGGGGGAUGACGGCCUUCGGGUUGUAAACUCCUUUCGCCAGGGACGAAGCGUUUUGUGACGGUACCUGGAGAAGAAGCACCGGCUAACUACGUG
rnacentral:rRNA from 1 species